rnacentral:misc_RNA from 1 species
GGAGAGGAUAUGGGAUCUUUAUCCUAAAAGCAAAUUUCAGGAGUCUUUUAUAGCCAAUACUAAAAUAUUCAAUAGAAUUUCCAAAGCUUGUAUUAAUUAGCAGAAACGUCUGUUGUAGCCAAUGCCCUGUGGCCACAUGGAUCUUGGGGUAUAAUAUUCACAUUUUCUCUGAGAUAGGCCCUUAUGUGGUUAUAUUUUAGUCCACUAGAUAACUACAAAUAUUAAAAAGCAAAGGAUUGAGUUACCGACCAUGGAGCGGAAGAAAUGAGAUAGGCCUUGUCCGUUCGACAAUUAAUUUGGGUAAGCUCUGGACGAUGUUUGUAUGCACCACUGGCUGU